GUGAGGAAUUUUGCGCAAUGGGGGCAACCCUGACGCAGCGACGCCGCGUGGAGGACGAAGUCUUUCGGGAUGUAAACUCCUGUCAGUGGGGACAAUAAUGACGGUACCCACAGAGGAAGCACCGGCUAACUCCGUGCCAGCAGCCGCGGUAAGACGGAGGGUGCAAGCGUUGUUCGGAAUUACUGGGCAUAAAGCGUAUGUAGGCGGCAAGUUAAGUUCAAUGUUAAAGCCCACGGCUCAACCGAGGAGAUGCAUUGAAUACUGGCUAGCUAGAGGGUGUUAGAGGAAGACGGAAUUCCCAGUGUAGCGGUGAAAUGCGUAGAUAUUGGGAGGAACAUCGGUAGCGAAAGCGGUCUUCUGGGACAUACCUGACGCUGAGGUACGAAAGCGUGGGGAGCAAACGGGAUUAGAAACCCGUGUAGUCC
rnacentral:rRNA from 1 species